rnacentral:piRNA from 1 species
UUCAACAACGUUUCUUCAUGA